rnacentral:rRNA from 1 species
AUUGAACGCUGGCGGCAGGCCUAACACAUGCAAGUCGAACGAGUGGCGGACGGGUGAGUAAUGUCUGGGAAACUGCCCGCUGGAGGGGGAUAACUACUGGAAACGGUAGCUAAUACCGCAUACCAUCGGAGGUGCCCUGAUGGGAUUAGCUAGUAGGUGGGUUAAAGGCUCACCUAGGCGACGAUCCCUAGCUGGUCUGAGAGGAUGACCAGCAACACUGGAAGUGAGACACUGUCCAAACGCCGACGGGAGGCAGCAGUGGGGAAUAUUGCACAAUGGGCGCAAGCCUGAUGCAGCCAUGCCGCGUGUGUGAAGAAGGCCUUCGGGGUGUAAAGUAUGUUCAGCGGGGAGGCGUUACCCGAAGAAGAAGCACCGGCUAACUCCGUGCCAGCAGCCGCGGUAAUUC